ACUUAAAUAGUUUAAAUAAAAUAUUGAUUUGUGAUGUCAAAGAUAUGAAUAACUCAUUUUUAGUU
rnacentral:tRNA from 1 species